CCAUCCAUCCAUCCAUCCAUCCAUCCGUCCAUCCAUCCAUCCAUCCAAAUGGAUGCCCAGUGAUAUCAACUAUUUCCCUAAUCCCUAAGAACAGAAGGAGACGGUCCUGGCCAAGGUGCUUAGCCAAUGCGAUUACAACCCCACUCGGGAAAGAGGCCAAUUGUGAGACGUGCUGAAGGGCCAGGGAGGGAGGCUGUAGAGGAUGCUAAGGGCAAGGGAGCCAGAGGCAUCACGAGGGGCACUGCGUCUUCUAAGAGGGGCAUGCUGGGAGAACUAGUGUCCCAUUCUUCGGGAUGCAGAUCUCACUCGGGAACAGCGCCUUGCAGAAAUGGCUAUGUUAGAACAAGAUCACUUGCUGGGUCCUGAUUCAGAAUGGCUAGCAGCCUUAGAAACCCCUUAGACAAUUGAGUGGCUGGAGCAACGGCUUAGCAGUUAGGAGCUGCUCCUCCUGAGGGCCUGUGUUCGAUUCCCAGCACCCACCACUGUCAGUAACUCCAAUUCCAGGGGAUGCUACACCCUCUCUGGCUUCAGAAUUUCAAACACAGCAUCUGAUGCAGACCUAGAUGGACACUCGGAGGCAUGAUGAGGGAGACAGGGGAGAAACACCAUGUGAAGGCGGUAGAACGCCCACGAUUGCCGGGCAGACUCAGAGGAAAGAGGCCCUGGGCAGGACCAACGCCCCUACAACCUUGCUCCUGGGUGACCAGCUUUCAGAACUGACCGUGAGGCAACAGAGUUCUGAUACCUGAAGCCACCAGUUUGCGGUGCCUUGCUGUGUAGUAUAAAAGUGAAGGCCCCAGAGGUCAUACUGAUGGAUCAUCCUGGAUUAGCUAAGCACCAAGGAUGGGACUUACAAGUGUUCUCCGAGAAGAACAUGGGAUGCUGGAGACAAGGAGGAGGAAAGAAACCCCCCAUGUCCCCAACUUCUUCUUCUUCUUCUUUUUUUUUUUUUGGUUCUUUUUUUCGGAGCUGGGGACCGAACCCAGGGCCUUGUGCUUCCUAGGUAAGCGCUCUACCACUGAGCUAAAUCCCCAGCCCCCCCAACUUCUUCUUAACGAGAGAUUUAUUUUAGUUUUAAUUAUAUAUAUUUGUGUGGGGGUUGUGCAUCUAAGUGCAGGUGCCCUCGGAGACCAGAGGCAUUGGAUCCCUUGGAACUAAAGAGUACUGUGAGCGUCCUGACAUGUGUGCUGGCGACUAGACUUGGGUCCUCUGGAAGAUCAGCAAGCACUCUCAACCACUGAGCCAUCUCUCUAUCUCCUUCCUGUCCAAAGGUGUAAACAUUAAAUAUGCUAACACGCUUUUCUUUACCAAAUUUCCCAUUUUCCUUAUCUCUCUGCUUUACUUUUUGUUCUCUCUCUCUCCCUCUCUCUCUCUCCUCCUCUUUCUUUCUCUCUCCCUCCCUCUCCCCCCCCCACUGAACUGAUUACAGCAGUGAGCAAUAGUGUGAUACAACCUGAAUAUUCUCCUGUCUUGUAAUUUUUCUCUGCUAGACAAGUAAAUCCAUUACCUUUAAUACGUCCCAGGGCAUAGACAAAAUGCAAACAGAUUCUUUGCCAGAAAUAGGAGUAGUUACAUAAACACUUCCAGACACCCCUCUUCCCUUCUGAGACCUCAAGAACCAGGCUUCCACUGUGUGUGUUUUUAUCAGCAUUCUUAUCUUCUAAUCACCCACCAGAAUGGUCCACUCAUGUUUGAAGUACAGUGAGGCUUUUGUAGCCUUACAGUUGCAAAUCUUCCCAUUAUUGUUUCUGUAAAUCAGUUAGAGACCUCAGAACCACAUGGACAGGUUUAUCACAGCAAUAACCCCACUCUUGGUACCAGGUUUCUGGAUUAGUUUCUUUCCUUGUUGCCUGAUAAAUAUCUCUUUUUUUCUCUUUUUUUCAGAGCUGGGGACCGGACCCAGGGCCUUGAGCUUGCUAGGCAAGCGCUCUACCACUGAGCUAAAUCCCCAACCCCCUGAUAAAUAUCUCUUAAGGACAGACUUAGGGAAGAGGGCUUAAUUUUGCUUACAGUUUAAGGGGGUACAGUCCAUCAUGGAGAGGAAAUCACAGCAGCAGAGGCUUGAGAUAGCUCAUCACAUUGCAUACAAGUCAGCAAAGAGAAACCAACAAAUACUGCUCAGCUGGCUUUUUACUUCUUAUGUAGCCCAGCGCUUGGGGUGGGCAUCCCACCUAAUUAACCUAGUGUAGAAAAUCUCUCACAGCCAAAGAUGUUUCCAGGGUGAUUCUAUAUUCAAUUGACAAUCAUAUUAAUCUACCACAGUGGACUGUCCCAUGCCCAAAGAGGCUCAGAAAGGCAGAUUUUAGUACUUAUUUUUAUGCAGAAAAUCAGGUACCAAAAUUGGGUGUUAUCUGUUGUGUGUAAUUUUUAAAAACACACUAUUGUCUUGGUCUGUGACCUCAGCACCCACUCUGACCCUCCUGGCUCUCCUUGCUCCGUCCAGCUUAGCCGGUGGAUGGCUCAAGCAUGAAAACCUUGAACAAAAACUCAGGGGCAGGGGGUCCUCAUCUUACAGAUAGAUUCCCUGCUAUAAACUAGAGAAAGACAAUAAAACCAAGGAUACUGCCUCCAAAACCAGACACAAGCUAGAUUAAAUAUAAAAAUACUUUAGAGAGGUUUUAAAAAAACCCUGCAAGAUCACUCAAAUUCUCCAAACAUGGGUUCCAUGAGAAUUCCAAGUUAAAUAUUGCUGGCAUGACAGAUUUUUUUUUAAAAAGCCUAAAAUUACACAAUAAACAAAAGAUAAUGUUUUAAAGAAAUUUAUAAAAAUCUUACAAGAUAACUCAAAUUCUUUGAACAUGGGCUCCACGAGAGUUUUGGGUUAAACAUUCCUGACAUGACAAAUAAAAAGUCUAAAAAUAGACUCAUACAGUAUUUGUUUAGUUUACUUUAUUUGUUUUAAAUUGUUUUAAUCACCAAAAUGGGUGUGAUUUUGAGUUUUGUGGUUAUAUUAUUAUUCCUCUGGGAGAGAGGUCAAACUAAAAGUUGUUCUGGUUGCUGGCUCAAGGACAUGCUAUUUUGGGAGAAAGGCUCUACAUCUGUGUUGACAGAAAAAAAGAGAUUAGGCUCUGGACCCCUUCCAGAGUUAUAUGGAUCAGAUAUGACAGGGGGAGACCCCUGAAGAACUAGAACAAUUCAAGAGACUCAAACAGGAAAGGUAAAGAUUCUUGGUGCCCUCCUUCAUGUGGCAUAAAUGAAGACUUAUGACUGGUUAUUAUUAAAAUUGGCUCAUCAAGAGGAGAGCUGCCUUUCACAUGCUCAAGCAAGGAGGAGAAUUUCACCCUUAACUAGUCUAUAGACCCUACACAGACUAGCAUGAUCCAUACAGAUAUCUUGAUGGCACUUACGUUUGUCUGAGAUUUCUGCACUGCAGAGUGUACAGCUUUGGUGAGAUUCUUCCUCAGACAUGCUGAACUGACCCGCCUGGACUCCCUAUGUCACAGAUCCCAGGUUAUCUUGCCUCAUUCAACCUUUAGAUGGAUCCAGCCAGCUCUUCAGUCAAGCCCUGAGCCUUCUAAGCAUCAGAGACUGAAUAACAAUCACUGGCUUGGCUUUCUUAAGGCCUAACCAAGUCUGCUAAUUGUUCUACCCAUCUCCUCCCCUUUAAAGAAUUCUUGUCACCCAUGUUCAGCCAGGAGAAGUUAUGGUGAGUCGUCAGCCCAGGUCCCCGUGCUUGGGGGUCUGGUAAUGGUUAUUUUACAAAUUAUAAAAAAGGUUGUCAUUCAAGGAAAAUUGAGAAUGGUCAUGAUUUUGAACGGGUAGGAAAUAGGUGGAGUUGCUUAUGUAACUAUAAUUUUAAUUGAUAAAAAUGUUUAUAAUUGAUACAGUUGAAAUUAUAUUUUCUUACACUGGCACUAAAUUUAUUUUGGUACAGAUUUAAGGUCUUCAUUGAUAAACAGUUCUUACAUUGAUACAAAAAUUGAGAUCACUAUUGUCACGCCUAGAUAGGCAUCACGCCUAUAUAAUACACUGAGAAAUAAGAGGCUUAGACACAGUCUUCUCAUGACUGCUAUUACGAACUGUUUUCAAACAAUCGAACAUGUGAGCUAAGGGUCAGAUAGAAAACUCAUGCUCAUGCUAGAGUCCUAAUUUAAUUACAAAAGGAUGCUUUCAAUAUACUUCAAUUAAAAGUAGCUGAAAGUAAUCGAAGUUCAGGUUACCAUGUAUAUAUAUAUAUAUAUACAUAUAUAUAUAUAUCUCAAUGUUAAAGAUCCACAAAGUAUGAUGUGUGUUAUUUAAUCAUUGGACAAUGAGACAUACCUACUCUGGGCAGCAACCCCUUCCCAGUUCAAAGGAGACAUUGAACAUCUUUACCUCCAGUCAAGGUCACUUAUCGUGGCAAGGCAGCCAUUGGGCCAAAAGUGCCCAUUUCAUCUGCAGACAAUACUGUCCAAAGAAGGACACAUUUUACAGGAUAACUGAUUGUUGGCUUUGCCGAGACAGGGUCAGUGGACCUUCAAAUAAUUCUACAUUAUAAGUCUGUCAGAUAGAUGAUCCUUAGCCAGAGGCCAAAGACGGAUGCUCCUAGAUACUGAAGAAUGGGGGACUGUCCAAGCAAUCAACUGUCUCUGCAAAUUGAUUAAAUUUCAGAAGCUGUGUUUCGUGCUUCCUAUGUUUUCAAGCAAUAUUUAGUCAUUCUCAGACUUCUGAUGGGAUUAAAGACUAGUUUUAAUCUCAUAACCAAACUCAAGGCAUUUAACGUUGAUAGAGAGAGUUUAUAGAACAGAUGACAUGGUUUUCAGAUGACAUUACAGCUAAAAUGUAAACGUAAUCCAAGGACAGAAUCAUAAUUCUUUCAGUUAGGAAACAUGGUAGAGUACUUUGUCUAAUUGACAGGUUGAUAGAUUAAAUGUCCUUUGUACCUUAUACUAUAUAAUUUACUUAAUAAUUAUGGGUUUGUUCAAUUUAUAUCUGGGAGAAGAGGGUAUUAUUAUUAGUAGUAGUAGUAGUAAUAGUAGUAGUAAUAGUAGUAGUAGUAGUAGUAGUAGUAGUAGUAGUAGUAGUAGUAGUAUUGGGAGGUGCUGAUACUGAAGUCUGGUUCUCUAACUGGUUCUUGAUUUGAUCAAUAAAGAAGGAGGGAGUCAAUUGCUGGGCAAAGGGGACAGAUGGGACUUCCAGGCCCCAGGAGGAGAGGAGACACAGGGAAAGAGGCUUUUCAGUCAGGCCUUGGAAGGAAAAGCACGAAACCACCAUGUAAGAUCUUGGGGAAGAUAGAACUGGCAGCCUCCGCCACUGGCAGAUCGCCAAAGAGGUCGACAAAGACUGUCUGAUGCUGAUGAGGUUAGGACAAGAGAUUCGGUGCCCAGCAAUUAGGCUAUCUGGCAAGUUCUAAAAUAAUAAAGCUGUCUGAAUGUUUUCAUUCUCCUGAGCAAAGGUGGGUAGAGAUAGAAGCCGGGUCGGUGACAGUGGCUUGGCGAAGUUAAGCUGGGAGGAGCAAAGGGAACCCGGCGGGGCCAGAGCAAGGGCAGCAGCUCUUGGGUCGAGGUAGAUGGCAAAGCUAGCCCGGAGCAACAAAAGAGAAGCCGACAGGGAGCUGGUGGAGCUCAGACAGCAGCUCACGUUUGCGAUCGAUCCUGGGCUAAGCCGGAUGGAGCAAAGGGAACUGGGAGAGGUCAGACUGCAGGCCUAGGUCACAGACAGACAAUAGCCUGUUUUUUUUUUUUUUUUUAAAUUACACGCAGCAGACUAAGCCAUGACUGCUCUGCUCUUUCUAAUGACAUUUAUCCCCUUAUAAAAGAGGUCAAAGGUUGACUUUGUAUCCUGCCCACUGAAAUCACUUAUCUUUUCUAGAAGUUUUCUAGUAGAAUUUUGGGAGUCUCUUGUGGUAUUCUGUCAUAUCAACCUCAAACAUGGGUAAUUUGACUUCUUCUAUUUGUGCCUGUUUAAUUUCCAUUUCUUAUCUUACUGCUUUAUCUAGUGCUUCAAGCACCACAUUGAAAAAGAGUGAGGAUCAUGGACAACCUCCUCUUGUUCCUGAUUUUGAGGUCAAUUCUUUAUUUUUUGAUUUAUUUUAUGUAUAUGGUACAUUGUAACUGUCUUCAGACACAGCACAAGAGGGCAUUGGAUGGUUGUGAGCCACCAUGUGGCUGCUGGGAUUUGAACUCAGGACCCCUGGAAGAGCAGUCAAUGCUCUUAACCACUGAGCCAGCUCUCCAGCCCUUGUUCCUGAUUUUAAUGGGCUUGGUUCUAGUUCAUUUUUUCCCCCAACAGGCUCUUGUUGUGUAGUCUAGGCUGGCCCUGAACUCUUCAUCCUCCUGAGUGAUAUAAUUGUAGGCAUGUAUCUCCUUCCUGGCUUUCAGUUCUCGUUUAAUAGUCAUGUUGUAGGUAACUGGAUUUUACUCUGAAGUGUGAAACAAUGAGACAGAGAGAACCUUCCUAGUGUUUAGGAAAUGAUACUCAUCACCAGGAGCCUCCUCCUGUGGCUAGUAUCAGCAUCUACACCUACCUACACAUACCUACCACAACCCUCCAGGAGCAGACACACUCAGAAUGCCACCAGGGAAACUACAGCAUAUUAACAUGUGUGCACAUGCACGUGCGGACACACACACACACACACAUACACACCCUCACACACACUCUCUAUCACACACACACAUACUCUCACACACACACACAUAUACACACCCUUACACACAUUCUCUAUCACACACACAUACACAUUCUCUCACACAUACACACAUACUCACACUCAUACUCCCAUAUACUCUCACACACUCAGACAUACACAUACUCAUACACACUCAACUUUCACAAACACACAUACUUACACACACAGACACACAGACACACAGACACACAGACACACACACACACACACACUCCUUGCUAUCUAGCUGAGGAUGACCUUGUACUCCUGAUCUUCCUGUCCCCAUGUCUUAAGUGAUGGUGCUAGAACUCUAGGCUUCAUUGGCCAUGCUCAGCUUAGUGGCUUAAUGGUUUUUUCCACUCUGGAGAUGGAACGUAGGGUCUCUCACAUGUUGUUAAGUGUCCAGCACUAAACUACAGCCCUAUAAUUUAUAUAAAUGUCAUGGUACCAUGGGCAUCAACUGUUAGUUUGUCCUGAUCGGUAGCAUUCUAAAUGCCCCCUUUACAUACAGAAAAGGUAUGGGGAAAUCCAAUGAUUCUUCACCACAUAAUAAGUUCAUGUCAAAUUCCAGGAGACCGGGUAAGAAGCUGCUAUUUCACAUACUCCAAGUUUUAGAAUUUCUUAGGAUUUGCAUCUUUACACAUAACAUUUGGGCCUCACUUUGCUAUACACCCAUUUGCAGAAAAUGUAAGAAUAAGCCAUGAGAAGAAACUCCAUCCCACAGGAGAGCCACCCUGGUGCAGCACUGCCAGCAGGGACAUGCUCUACACUCAUUUCACGCCCUCCCGGCUGCUGUGGGAGAUUCUCCUCUUUCUAGGUAACAGAUGGCAAAGUGGAACCUAGCAGGCUUGGUGGCAUCGCCACGUUAGUCAGGAUGGAGAAGAGUGAGAAUCCACACUGCCUCCAGAGCCUCUCAGCACCCCAGGUCAGUAUCAGGAUGACCAGCGUCAUGGCCCCUCACAUCCCAAGUCCUUGGCCGCAGGCGUGGCUGGGCGUGAAUGAGUGUAUUCUCCACGCUCUGCCUCCAGGCAGGGACUCAUUUAGGUGUUUGAGGGCCGGCCAAUGUCUGGCAUAGGCACGGAACAGGCAUCUGAGUGAAGGUCUAGUUCCAGUACCCUGGGCAGCUGCAAGCCAGAUGGGCACCGUGACUCCCCGCCUGCUGGGACCUCCCUCCACACUCUGUGCACCUUCCUGCCAGUGGUUUCCUGUGAGAUGACCCUUUCCUUUGAGCCUCUCCUCAGAGUCUCCUCCAACACUCCCCAUGGGUUUCCUGCAUCUUUCCCCUGUUGGGCCUCUGUUCUCCUCGAUGCCCCGCCCCCGGCAUCUGGCAGAGUUUCCCCUCUUACUGUCAAUCUGCAGUUUCUUCGGAGUCCUUCCUCAAAGGCCGACUGUCCUGAAUCUGUGUGGACUCCCCAGACUUCAGUGUUCCUGCCUGUUCCUCUCCUGGCAGCUCCAUCAGCGUGGCGUAGUGUGGCCUCAGGACCAGCGAGGAGGAGAUCUGGACAGCCUGGCUCGGUCCAAAAGGCAGACAAGAAAUGUGACGCACCCACUCAGUGUGAACAGCUACAGGUCUCAGUACCGCCUGCCUUCCCGUCUUCUCACACUCCUAUCCCAGAAAGCAUCAAGUACGCUGGAGUGAAUGCAGAUCCCACAGGAAUGUAUUAAAUGAUCUCACCUUGUAUGCCCUCGGGAGGCCAAGACCUCAGGAUACCUGUAUAUGCUGAGCACUGGAUGGCUGACAGCAAAUGCAUCCCUUGUGGGUGUGGACAGGAGAAGCCAAUUUGGUCUACUGUGCUGCAGUGUGGAUGAACCCUCAAGCCUGAAACGUAGCAAGUUUAGAAUACAGGACUCACAGACCUCGGGCCAGGGACCCUUGUGGAGGUUCCACAUGAGCCAGCUCUGUGUGAAACAACCCAGGGCUCAGAAGCCCAACAGUGUGGAUAACCAAAGACAGAUGAGAAGUCAGUCUCUGUCUCUCUGUCUCUGUCUCUGUCUCUGUCUCUGUCUCUGUCUCUCUCUCUCUCUCUCUCUCUCUCUCUCUCUCUCUCCCCCAGCACUGUAGCCUGUUGCCCUGUGCACACAAGAUCAGCAGCUCUGGCCUGGCAGCUUUUUCCCCUCCUGAAGUGCAAUGACAUGUUCACCUCUGGAGGGCAACGUGGGGACACAAGCAGAGGUGACUGCAGUGCCCAGAUGCCCUCUGACCCAGAACUUCAUUUGGGCCUGGGCCUCAGAGCACUCAGUGAGAUAGACAUGCGUAUGAACCCCAGGCAAAUGACCAUCCCUGAGAGGUCUGUGCCACCCCGAGGCCACACAGCUAGUUCCUAAGUCCAGAUGCCCUCACACUGGGUCUUGUCCACCUCAAGACAGUCUCACUAUGGGACAGACAAAUGGCAGGAGGGGGAGCACUGUGCAUGUGUCACACACACGUGUGAAGCAUUAUCAGUUGUCAACUGAUCUAGGAAAAUGUACUACACAGACAAAGCUGCAACCUGGCACAAGUGUGACUCACCACCCGGUGACAAACCUGUUACUAGAACAGGAUGAGACCUUCCAAAUGCUUAGUGUGAGUCUAACAUUCUGUUAGAAAGUUGAGUGGCGGGGUUGGGGAUUUAGCUCAGUGGUAGAGCGUUUACCUAGAAAGUGCAAGGCCCUGGAUUCGGUCCUCAGCUCCGAAAAAAGAAAGAAAAAAAAAAAGAAGAAAGUGAGUGGCCUUGGGCAGGCUCCCAUCUUAAGGGGUGCCAUGAAAUGCAGAACUAAAUUCAUUUUGCAUUUCUUCAGAAGAAAGAGGCACACCAAGGACUUGGGGUACCGCUCUCCUGCAGAAUAGUCUAACUUGCUCAGGCCUGGCUUCUGUCUUAUCACCGUAAACCACAACUAACAACCACGAACGCCAUGGGCUAGUCUGCACUGUUAUGCCAUCUGUAUACAAUGGUGCUUCUUUCUAUCGCAAAUUGCUUGCUUUUGUAUUUGAAGGAUUUUCACUCUUCUCUAGCCUUCUGAACCUAUGGAAAGAUGCUAAGUGUGUAUUCUGAACGUCCCUGAGACUCUGGCCCUAAUACAAGCCUUGUUCCAGCACCGUCAGCUAGCUCGACGUAUCUGUCCCAGAGGAAAGUCCCCGGGCUUCUGAUUGGCUAGAAACCUCAAGGAUACCAAUCAAUACAUAUAUUUUUUUUUCUACUUCUGAGAAAACAUUAAGUUCUAUGAACAUCAGAAGACCUACAUUUUGCUAAUUUAUCAUAGUGGAUCUGAUUUUCCAAACACCAGCAGGUUGUUUCCUCCCUCAGUAACAGAUGAGAAAGCAGCACUGUGUCAGUGAGGCGUCUGUAUUAGUGUGUUCAAACUUGUCGUCAGUUGAACAAUGAACCCAAAAUAAGUAACUUGGAAACCUCAAAAGAGAUACUUGCAAAUCAUAUACCUGAUGUCUCUGUGCUAACACAAACACCCCACUACUAAACAACAGGGAGAUCCGAAUAGACAUUUCUCCAAAGAAGACUCAACAUCAU